rnacentral:rRNA from 1 species
UACGGGGGAUGCGAGCGUUAUCCGGAUUUAUUGGGUUUAAAGGGUGCGUAGGCGGCGUGUUAAGUCAGCGGUGAAAUUCGGCAGCUCAACUGCCGUCAGCCGUUGAAACUGUCAUUCUCGAGUGAGGUCAAGGUAGGCGGAAUAAGUAAAGUAGCGGUGAAAUGCAUAGAUAUUACUUAGAACCCCGACAGCGAAGGCAGCUUACUGGGAUGCAACUGACGCUGAGGCACGAAAGCGUGGGUAUCAAACAGGAUUAGAUACCCU